GCGGCCGGGAGGCGGGAGCAGGGUGGGAGGGGCCGCGCGCGCGAGAGCGGGCGGGGGCGGGAGCCGGAGGCAGAGCUCGCGGGCCCGGCUCCCGGAGCGCGCGUCUGCCUCCCUCGCAAUGCGUGGGGUUCUCAGCCCCGCAGUCCGGCUUCUCUCCCGGUGCGCGCCCCGCGUGGGCCGCACACGCUCUCUUCCCGGGCUGCGGCCCCACGCUUCACCCGCUGGACCCCGGAGCGCCUCACCCUGCCGGCCCGCCUGGGGACGGGUCACCUGAGGGCUGGUGAACAGCCGCGCCAGCCCAGCUCGACCGCCACGGAGUCCUGAGGACCACGUCCGCAGCCCGCCUUCCUUUUCCUAUAACUUUCUUCAGUCAAUCCACAUGGACUUCUGAUAUUAUGUACCAGGCAGUGCUUAAUCCUCCCCUUUUGCUGUCGCAUUGCCAGCAGCACUCAGACCCUGUGAGGCAUCAGCUAAGAAGAUUUUCAAUUUUCCUUCUUCCUCUUGACAGAUCAUGAUUUUGAAUUUUUGAAAUUUGACCGUAAGUUACCUGUGAAGUAAAACAUAUGUUUAAUCAA